UGGGGAAUUUUGGACAAUGGGCGAAAGCCUGAUCCAGCAAUGCCGCGUGCAGGAUGAAGGCCUUCGGGUUGUAAACUGCUUUUGUACGGAACGAAAAAGCUUCUCCUAAUACGAGAGGCCCAUGACGGUACCGUAAGAAUAAGCGCCGGCUAACUACGUGCCAGCAGCCGCGGUAAUACGUAGGGUGCGAGCGUUAAUCGGAAUUACUGGGCGUAAAGCGUGCGCAGGCGGUUAUGUAAGACAGAUGUGAAAUCCCCGGGCUCAACCUGGGAACUGCAUUUGUGACUGCAUGGCUAGAGUACGGUAGAGGGGGAUGGAAUUCCGCGUGUAGCAGUGAAAUGCGUAGAUAUGCGGAGGGACACCGAUGGCGAAGGCAAUCCCCUGGACCUGUACUGACGCUCAUGCACGAAAGCGUGGGGAGCAAACAGGAUUAGAUACCCUGGUAGUCCACGCCCUAAACGAUGUCAACUGGUUGUUGGGAAUUAGUUUUCUCAGUAACGAAGCUAGCGCGUGAAGUUGACCGCCUGGGGAGUACGGCCGCAAGGUUG
rnacentral:rRNA from 1 species